CGAGCUCUACGGAGCGAGUAACAUAUAAUACAACUUUCAACAACGGAUCUCUUGGCUUUCGCAUCGAUGAAGAACGCCGCGAAAGUGCGAAACGUAAUGUGAAUUGCAGAAUUCAGUGAAUCAUCGAAUCUUUGAACGCAUCUUGCGCUCCUUGGUAUUCCGAGGAGCAUGCCUGUUUGAGUGUCGUGAAGUCUAUCGAUCCGUGGCCCUUUGUAAUCGGGGGGCCGGUGGGUCGGAUUUGGACGCUGCCGUCCUUCNGUGGACGGCUCGUCUCGAAAUGCAUUAGCUGUUCCCAUCCNCAGACAACGGUGUGAUAAGAAAACUCGCUGGCGUCGGUGGUAACAAAAUGGGUCGGCUCACAGUCGUCUUCGGACAAAUCAUCAUCAUCUGACCUCAAAUCAGGUAGGACUACCCGCUGAACUUAAGCAUAUCAAUAAGCGGAGGAAAAGAAACUAACAAGGAUUCCCCUAGUAACGGCGAGUGAAGCGGGAUGAGCUCAA
rnacentral:rRNA from 1 species